GCUCCUGACAAACUCGUUUAAUAGCCGCGGUAUUUUGACCGUGCAAAGGUAGCAUAAUCAUUAGUUUUUUAAUUGAGAACUCGUAUGAAAGGUUGAACAAAGGAAAAACUGUCUCUAUUAUAAAAUUUGAAUUUAACUUUUAAGUGAAAAGGCUUAAAUAAAUUAAAAAGACGAUAAGACCCUAUAAAGCUUUAUAAAUAGAUAAAAUUUUGUUGAAAUUUUAUAUAAAAUCAUAGUUUUGUCGUUUUAUUUUAUUGGGGCGAUAUAAAUAUAAGUAAUUUUAACUGUUUAAUAAAAAUACAUUAAUUAAUGAGUUGAGAUUAAUUGAUCCUUCCUAAAGAUUAGAAAGCUAAGUUACUUUAGGGAUAACAGCGUUAUUUCUUUUGAGAGUUCUUAUCGAAAAAGAAGUUUGCGACCUCGAUGUUGAAUUAAAUUUUCUAUAUAAUGUAGUCGUUAUAUGAGAAGGUCUGUUCGACCUUUAAAUGUUUACGUGAUCUG
rnacentral:rRNA from 1 species